rnacentral:rRNA from 1 species
AGCGGCGGACGGGUGAGUAACGCGUGGGAAUGUACCCUUCUCUAAGGAAUAGCCACUGGAAACGGUGAGUAAUACCUUAUACGCCCUUCGGGGGAAAGAUUUAUCGGAGAAGGAUCAGCCCGCGUUGGAUUAGAUAGUUGGUGGGGUAAUGGCCUACCAAGUCUACGAUCCAUAGCUGGUUUGAGAGGAUGAUCAGCCACACUGGGACUGAGACACGGCCCAGACUCCUACGGGAGGCAGCAGUGGGGAAUCUUAGACAAUGGGGGAAACCCUGAUCUAGCCAUGCCGCGUGAGUGAUGAAGGCCUUAGGGUCGUAAAGCUCUUUCGCCAGGGAUGAUAAUGACAGUACCUGGUAAAGAAACCCCGGCUAACUCCGUGCCAGCAGCCGCGGUAAUACGGAGGGGGUUAGCGUUGUUCGGAAUUACUGGGCGUAAAGCGCACGUAGGCGGACUGUCAGUCAGAGGUGAAAUCCCAGGGCUCAACCCUGGAACUGCCUUUGAUACUGCUAGUCUUGAGUUCGAGAGAGGUGAGUGGAAUUCCGAGUGUAGAGGUGAAAUUCGUAGAUAUUCGGAGGAACACCAGUGGCGAAGGCGGCUCACUGGCUCGAUACUGACGCUGAGGUGCGAAAGUGUGGGGAGCAAACAGGAUUAGAUACCCUGGUAGUCCACACCGUAAACGAUGAAUGCCAGUCGUCGGGCAG